UACGUAGGGUGCGAGCGUUAAUCGGAAUUACUGGGCGUAAAGCGUGCGCGGGCGGUUUUGUAAGCCAGAUGUGAAAUCCCCGGGCUUAACCUGGGAAUGGCAUUUGGGACUGCAAGGCUGGAGUGCGGCAGAGGAGACUGGAAUUCCUGGUGUAGCAGUGAAAUGCGUAGAUAUCAGGAGGAACACCGAUGGCGAAGGCAGGUCUCUGGGCUGACACUGACGCUCAUGCACGAAAGCGUGGGGAGCAAACAGG
rnacentral:rRNA from 1 species